CCUACGGGAGGCAGCAGUGGGGAAUAUUGCGCAAUGGGCGAAAGCCUGACGCAGCGACGCCGCGUGAGGGAUGAAGGUCUUCGGAUCGUAAACCUCUGUCAGCAGGGAAGAACGGUCACUGUGCUAAUCAGCAGUGAAUUGACGGUACGUGCAAAGGAAGCACCGGCCAACUCCGUGCCAGCAGCUGCGGUAAUACGGAUGGUGCGAGCGUUAAUCGGAAUUACUGGGCGUAAAGCGCUCGUAGGCGGUAUGUCAAGUCAAGGGUGAAAUCGCCGCGCUCAACCUGGGAACUGACUUUGAAACUGGCAAACUGGAGUGUGUGAGAGGAUAGUGGAAUUCCAGGUGUAGGGGUGAA
rnacentral:rRNA from 1 species